CUUUCCCGCCCCCCCUUCAGUGCGACAGCCUCAGAGCUGGUGGAGAAGCAGAGCGCUUGCAGCUGGAUCAAUUCAUAGACGUGGAAUUUCUGGAUCAAAUGGAGAUUGGACAAUUCAGAGAGCCCUGGAGGAGGGGGAGAGGGCUUCGUUUCCAGUGUGUACUUGCCACCUAGUGACCAUAGUGAAUGGUGAUACUUGUGCUUCUCAGCUCAGCCUGGUAGCCUGACCCUGACUCCUGAGGUCCGUGAUCCCGUCACAACUGCAAGUCAUUCUCCCACAAAGUUUGAGGUUACCCAGUUUGAGAGUUUUGGAACAACAUGCAAGUUCAAGUCACCAGCAUGUUAUCUUGCUGUCUCGUGUGACAAGACCAACAUCCGGGUUGCUUGCCUCUGGCCUCAUUCUUCUGCCCGCUGGUCCCUCUGCAGCCGUUGAUCACACACGCGUGUUUGUCAUACAAAAGCUGUCUUGCUUUUCGUAUUUGUCUCGUGAAUGUUGUCCUUGGCUUCAUGCACGUCAUAAGUUGGUGUUGCGUGCUGACCACUGAUACAUAGAACUUUCAGUACUUGUCGAUUUGCGUAGGUUUGGGUGAGAAUGGCAUCCAAGCAGAAAAACAAGAAGGCAGACGAUAGAAAUGCAAGAAAAACAAAGGGCAAGAAAAGUGAUGUCUGUAGCAAACAAUAUGAAAGUGCUUGAAAUGCUCCAUAAUGGUGAAACUGAGACCUCUAUAGGGUGCUUUUUGGGUGUUAAUGAAUCUAAUUUGAACAGUGAAGAGAAAUGAGAAAGCUGUUAGGGCCAGUGUGUCGAAGGGCACACUAGAAUCAUUGAGAAAACCAUACAUAGCUUGAAAUGUCAAAACAUAGACAAUGGAAAAAGAUUGGCCUGUGCGGCUUCUAACACGGGGAUCGCUGGCGAGGCCUCCUCCUGUGUGUGUAACUUGCCAGCGCGCAUCACAAAAAUGCAAGUUUAUUUAUUUAUUUUUUAAAGAUUUUAUUUAUUUAUUUAUCCAUGAUAGACACACACAGAGAGAGGCAGAGACACAGGCAGAGGGAGAAGCAGGCUCCAUGCAGGGAGCCCGA